rnacentral:rRNA from 1 species
GCUAGGAUGAAUGCUGGCGGCAUGCCUAAUACAUGCAAGUCGAGCGGUAACAGGACUAGCUUGCUAGUUGCUGACGAGCGGCGGACGGCUGAGUAACGCAUGGGAACGCACCCCAAACUGAGGGACAACUAGUCGAAAGAUUAGCUAAUACCGCAUGUGAUCUUCGGAUUAAAGCCUUCGGGCGGUUUGGGAGCGGCCUGUGUACGAUUAGAUAGUUGGUGAGGUAGUGGCUCACCAAGUCGACGAUCGUUAGAUGGUUUGAGAGGAUGAUCAUCCAGACUGGAACUGAGACACGGUCCAGACUCCUACGGGAGGCAGCAGUAGGGAAUCUUUCACAAUGGGCGAAAGCCUGAAUGGAGCAAUGCCGCGUGCAGGACGAAGGCCUUCGGGUUGUAAACUGCUUUUAUAAGCGAGGAAUAUGACGGUAACUUAUGAAUAAGGAUCGGCUAACUACGUGCCAGCCGCGGC